CACUUUCUUUAUAUUAACACAACCCACACACAGAUGGUUAACUAGGGAGUGCUACAUCUCAGCUCAAAGGUUUUGGAAGCCAUCAGUGUCGAUAGAUGACAUUUUUUUUUCAUGCCGCAUGCUUCUCAGAUUUGGACUGGUGUGUUACUGCUGAAAGCCUUUUCCUGUUUUUGACUCUCAGAUCCACAGCCACGCUGUGAUCACACUGCACAUUGAGGAAACCAUAUCUACUGAGGAUACAUAGCCUGGAUGCCAAAACCUGCUCUCAGUCUAAACAUUCUCAUACUGGAUAUCAAGGAGGACACUUCUCUCAACUCCUAAUGGCCAGGUUGUGCAGCAUAUGCAGGAGUUUUAUGCGACACAGAGGAGAGGCAGAUCUGGGGAGAGAGUGACGGUGUGACGGGACUCUGGAAGCAGGCGGUCUCCUGUCUCUUGGGUCCGUUUCUGUUCUGCUUGCUGGAGAUGCUGUGGCACCAGCUGUGAGUCUGUCCAGCCAGUCAGCAUGAGACAUCUGGGAUGCAUUGGACCCGUGAGAGAGGAGAGAGGGGGGCAGCUGGAACCUAUCAGAGCCCAGGAGAUCAGCAGAUCUGUUCUGUGUGUAUGGGAUCUGACCUGUCCUGAGCCCUAAACUCAUCCACUGUCCCACAUAGGGAUGAUGACAAGACACACAGGCCGUUAACUGGGUGAGGAGUGUUAGCUGUCCUACAUUACACUCCCUAUAACUCAGUGACACCGUAUGGAGUGCUGAGGUUACAGGACUACUUGUUGCUGUGAAUUUUGACCAAGCCCCCAGGAACGGAGCUGGGCUGUGAAGCAAUUUUGGCAUAGUGGCAGCAUGGGGUAUUGCACGUGAUGCACACUGUGAUAAAAAGCAUUUUUCUCAUGCGCAAAAAUUGGAAGAGGAGCAGCUGUAAAAUGAGAGCCAUCAGGAAGUCAGCAGGCUCGGCCAGCGGAAGUCUCCCUUACGCAUGUUCUCAACCGCCUUGGCUGGAGAAGGAAGUGUGCAUGCUCUAUGGGCCCAAAAACCUUCCUCUACGAGGAAGCCUGUGGAGGCUUUUUUGGCACCUCUUUUGAAAAAUGUGAAAAUAUGCACAAUAGCUGCAGCAUCAUUUUAGUUUGUUUUCAUGCACAAAAAAUUAGGAGAAUUCACAUUUAAUUUAGAAUUUAACAUGAGAGAGGGAUAUAAACUGUACAGUCAUCCUGUCACUUAGAGACGAUCUGAUUCCUGCAGCUCCGGAGCCGCUGUGAGAAGCCUGGGAAUCCUGGAAUUCCAGAAUUCCAAAUUGGUUCCCUUUCCUUCCAGGAAAUAUCUCCACUUCAUUGUUUUUCUACUUGCCCUUUUUGAAACCGUCCAGUUCAGCACUGCCCUAAUAUCAAAGUCACAGGUGGAGACCUGUCCUGCAGAGGGGCUGUUAGAUUCACUGUCACACAGCUCACUGACUCACAAACAACUCGUGACCCAUGCAGCUAUAUUUUUUUCACCUGCCAGAUACUCCUUUCUUCAUCAAUGCAACCAUACACAUGCAAAGUUAAUUUUUGUAAUUAUUCACUAAUGCAAAUUGACAAGUUGGAUUCCCCCCAAAACAGAGUUGACCUCUUAAGACACCAGAGCCCCCAAUCUGUGUUUUGGACCACCAAGGUCCUGUCGCCAAUUUGACCUUUGACAUAAUUGUUGACUGUUAGUUUAGCCAGUGCUCUCUCUCUGCAUCUGUCUGCAUUAUGUCCUUCUCACUCAACAUGCUCCAAGAAUCUUUUAUCCUUUCUUUCCUUCUUCACCUUCAGUGCUACAUCGCCUUUCUAUUAUGUCUUUCUUUUGUAUUUCUUCUUUUGACCUUCAUUUUGCAGCUUUCAUCUUUUCUCUCUUUUUUCCAUCUCUGUUCAUCUCUUUUCUCCAUCUAUUAUUAAAAAGGCCAUCCAACAUCCAAUGUAAUAACCUCUGUUGUGUUCUCCACAGCUCCUGCAGUUACUAUGGUCAGUGACCGCCUGGGUCAGCACAGCUCUUUGCCAUCUCUUCUUGAGGCCUGAGGUUCAGCUGAUACAUCAAUAUGGGGUCAAGGAAAUAUCAAAAUAAUGAUCCAGUAUUCCUGCCUCUAUGUGGCCUCUUACCAUGUGGAAUUCCUAAUUGUCCAAGCAGCUAUUCCCAAGAUCUCAAUGCGAUUAGAAAGAGCUUCAGCGUGUGUGUGCGAGAGGGAGGGAGACUGUAUGUGUACUUGCGAGUAGAUCGAGAGGCUGCAGAGUCGUAGUCACUAGAGUAGCAUAAUAGAGGUCUUACAGAGUGCACACACACAGUAAAUCUUGUGUCACAAUGGAGGGUGAGAGUACAUUUGCAAGGUUAUAUGAAAAACAUUGGCCAAACAUCUGGUUAGUCGCUGCAAUAAGGUGAGGGUGUGUUUCAUUGUUGUGCUGUGUUUCAGUGAUGUGGAUUCAGAUAUACGGGCAACAAAUAACAGUAACUGGGGCCUUUAUUCUUGGUUGAGCCCCAGUUCAUCAUGGUUAGUAUGACAGAAAUGGCUGACCUUUGUGUGACGAAAGGAUCAGUCAUAGACCUGUGUUCUUAAAAGGGUGUGAGGGCAAUGCUGACUCCUUGUGAGAACCUUAUUCUGGCAGCCUAUAUUUCACAAUGGGGCUCUGUUUAGGAUGACAUCAGAGGCUGGUUGCACAAAGACAGACUCUGAGCAUGGAUUAGAUAAAAAAAAAAAAACGUUAUGUAGAAUUGCAUAAAUAAAUCCACCGUUUUGCCAUGUGUAUUUGAAAGAGAAAACAAAAGACAAAAGCACUGUAACUUUAUGGGGACAUGAGAUGUCACCUUAUGUAAUGAAGAGAAUCAGACUUUCUGACAAACAUUAUGAUCUCAGAUCAUGAUGUAGUCCAGAACCUGCUGGUAAGUUUUUGUAACACAGAGAUUGUGGGUUCAAAUGCUGUACUGGAAUUUUUUUGUCCAAAAACAGCUUUUUCUGUAUUAGAACCAAACCAAGAAAAAAGAAACGUCCACGUAAAGUACUGCAUUUAUAAACUGAUUCAUUUUGAACAUUUAAUUUAUUUAUCAAUUUACUUGUAUACAGAAUUAGUCAGCAGUGACAAAAGAUAACCACUUAUACUGUUUAAAACAUAAUUACAGCUAACCCUUUCUCCCUCUUUAACCCUUUCUCAAUACACUGUUCUGGUUAAGAUGCCAAAGGGAGGCUUAUAGUAAAUGCAUUUAAAGUAGAAUGUACACCGGAAGUAUCAAAAGAUUGUCAGUAAAUUAAUUUGCACUUGCAUCCAUUCAGUUUUACCACAAUUUAAAUUGGUCAACCCAAACUGACACACUGUUAGGUUAAGUGCAUUUCACAUUGAAAUCAAACAAUUUGGCGCACACAAGUCUGAGUGACACAUUGUCAGUGAUAGCCAAACAGAAAAAACUCAGAUCUAUUGACACAGCUGGCUGUUUAUGAGGGCAACAGAGAAGCAAACUGAACAGAUAAACAGAGCUACUCGAGGUCUAAGAUACAGGCUGGCUCUGUGGCCUGCUGGUCAAACAAAAGCCAGAUGCUAUCCUGGCUUCCUAGAUUAUUUCCCAUAUUAUUUAUUAACCUCACUCAUGGUCCAUGCCAAGGAUAUCAAGAAAUUUUACUUUCCACCAGUGUGUUGCAUCCAGUUCAUCAUAAGCCAGACGACAUUUUAGCCAACCCAUCGUUUUAGGGUUUUGAACCUCCGGACCUAUCUGAUGGAGAUGGAAGCCCAUUGAAACACAUCCCACCUAUCAAUGAUGGGUCCAAAUGGUCCUAGAAAACAGUCAAGCACCAUUUCGCCUCUGUAAUGCCCCAACAUGUGCUGUUCAGAGUGACUUCAGCUUUGCUUGCAACUCCAAGGACAUCAUUGUCCUGUUGCUGCUGAUGUAACAGCAGCCGCUGGCCAGGCUGUUAUAUAAGCUCUGGAGGCACAUGAAAAAGCCAAAUUGCAAAUGAAAAUCAGCGAAAAUCUCUCUGGUCACUUCUAGAGAACCACACAACUCCUCCUAACACAGGCUACUGGCCAACCACAUCAUCACAGCUCUGCACUGUUAUGAUCCUUCUCUCUAUCCCUCUCUCCCUCUCACUCAAUAUGACUGCCAUAUGGAGGAACCGCAAAUCAACAGCUGAGGGGAUGUGUGCUUGUGUAAAUUUAACAUAUUAAUAUGUGUGAUAUCUGCUGAAUAGAUGUGUGUCUGCCACAUGUAUGUAAAGUGUUGCAUAGGUUUAGAGCUUGAAUGACGGUCUUUUGAUUUCUUAUUCCUUUGCAAAUGAAAAAAAUACAGUCAUUAACAUACCAUGACACAAACAAUAGUGACACUUUAAAAGUUGCAUUGUUGAAAUUCUCCCUCAAUUGUUGAGUGCUAUGUGAUGAAAACAACACUCCCAAAUCGAAGUCAGCGCCCCUGUGGGCUAAGCUGAUGACACAGAACAAUAAGUUAAGUGAUUCUGAUCAUAAAAAUGAAAGCCAUCUCUCCUGGAGACCAGCCAAGAAUUCCAAACAUGUUCGAUCCAGUGAGUUAGGGCGCCCAGUGUCAUGCACUCAUUCAACCCUCUUUCUUUUCAAACUGUGAAAACUUUAGAAUUUAUUUUAUCUGGAUUACAGAGACACUUAAAUCAAUGAGCCAUGUCAUUAGCAACACCUGGUGCAAUAUCUGUAUCGACAGGCACUAAAAAUAGUUUGUUAUACCACUUAAAUUACUACAGCCGAACGGGCAGUUUGUCAGGGAGUCUACACAAUCACCACCGUCUCCGCCCACCACAGUCAUUAGGUCCCAAUCACCCGACUACUGAUUACACUCACCUGUCAGCAACCACCCGCCAGCACUAUAAAGCAGCACUGCUCCCGUUCACUUAUUGUCUGGUCUCAAUCCUACUAUGUUGAUAUACCCGACUCACUUACAUGUCCCUUGGAUUCCCCUCGGCCCUCGCUUGCAAUCGUCUCCUGGCUCCAGCUCCACGCCAUACCCCGGAAAAGAAAAGGAUUUCAAUACUCAGAUGAAACUUUAACAAAGACUUUCCAUCAUCCCGUUCCCUUACCUGCAUUCUCCUUCAUCUGUGUUGGUCGCCUGCUGUUGUCAAUAAACCUGCCAUAGUAUCUGCA